GGGAUGGGGGGAUAGCUGCAGUCGAAGAAUCCCUGGGGCUUGCUCAGGGGGAAGUGGCGAAAGGGGCAGUAAGGCGUGGGUAACCUACCCCGGGGACGGGCAUAGCCGUCCUAACGGACGGGUAAUUCCUGGCGAUGUGCCGGAGGGGCAUCUCUUUGGCAUGAAAUGAGUUUCGCCUCGGGAGGGGCUCACGUGAUAUCAGCUAGUUGGCGGGGUAACGGCCCACCAAGGCGUUGACGUCUAGCCGGUGUGAGAGCACGACCGGCGCCACUGGCACUGAGACACUGGCCAGACUCCUACGGGAGGCUGCAGUCGAGGAUCUUCGGCAAUGGGCGCAAGCCUGACCGAGCGACGCCGCGUGUGCGAUGAAGGCCUUCGGGUUGUAAAGCACUGUCGAGGGGGAGAAACGCCCGCAAGGGCUUGAUCUAUCCCUGGAGGAAGCACGGGCUAAGUUCGUGCCAGCAGCCGCGGUAAGACGAACCGUGCGAACGUUGUUCGGAUUCACUGGGCUUAAAGGGCGCGUAGGCGGCGGCUCAAGUCGGGGGUGAAAUCCUCUCGCUUAACGAGAGAAUUGCUUUCGAUACUGGGUCGCUGGAGGGAGAUAGGGGUGCGCGGAACUUCCGGUGGAGCGGUGAAAUGCGUAGAUAUCGGAAGGAACGCCGGUGGCGAAAGCGGCGCACUGGAUCUCUUCUGACGCUGAGGCGCGAAAGCCAGGGGAGCAAACGGGAUUAGAUACCCCGGUAGUCCUGGCCCUAAACGAUGGGUGCUAGGUAGUGGGCUUGCAUGGGCUCACUGCCGGAGCGAAAGUCUUAAGUACCCCGCCUGGNGAGUAUGGUCGCAAGGCUGAA
rnacentral:rRNA from 1 species